GAUGAACGCUCGCUAUAGGCUUAACACAUGCAAGUCGAGGGGAAACGGCAUUAUGUGCUUGCACAUUUUGGACGUCGACCGGCGCACGGGUGAGUAUCGCGUAUCCAACCUGCCCUUUACUUGGGGAUACCCCGUUGAAAGACGGCCUAAUACCCGAUGUAAUUCAUUGAUGGCAUCAGAUAUGAAUAAAAGAUUUAUCGGUAAAGGAUGGGGAUGCGUCUGAUUAGCUUGUUGGUGAGGUAACGGCUCACCAAGGCGACGAUCAGUAGGGGUUCUGAGAGGAAGGUCCCCCACAUUGGAACUGAGACACGGUCCAAACUCCUACGGGAGGCAGCAGUGAGGAAUAUUGGUCAAUGGGCGCAAGCCUGAACCAGCCAAGUAGCGUGCAGGAAGACGGCCCUAUGGGUUGUAAACUGCUUUUAUACGAGAAUAAUUUGAUGCACGUGUGCGUUAUUGCAUGUAUCGUAUGAAUAAGGACCGGCUAAUUCCGUG
rnacentral:rRNA from 1 species